rnacentral:lncRNA from 1 species
CAGGAUUCUGCACUUGGCAUUGGCAGCCUAGGGGACUCAAUGGCAUGAUCCUUGGUGGAACAUCGGCCUGACAACAAAGUGAGGGAAUGAUAGUCUGGAGGUGACAAUAAGGGGCAAGUAAGACACAGCCCCUGUGCCCAGAUCCUAGGGCACUCAGGGUGCAGAAUAAGUAGCAGUGUCCAGGAAUCAGUGUCUGGAGAAGAGGAGAACCAAGUAAGGAAAGGUGAUGCAAACACAUUGACAGGGAAGGUGAAAGCAUAGAGAAGUUUGUUGAUCGUCUUAUGGGAAUCCCAGAACCUGGCAGAAUAAUUUAGGAGGGAGGAGAGGAAUGGAACUGAGCUUUCUCUGCCUGGAUGUACCUCUACCAGUUUUCCAUCCCUCAGAAUCUUUUAUUACAUGACCACAUCUAAUAGGGAAAGCAGCCAUGUUCUCACCCUACCUUUCUUUCCUUAGCAUUAUUUGAGAACAAGUCAUAUUGGUAGGGAGAUGGCAAAAAUAAAUAAACCCUAAUGCUUAGUUCUGCAUAGAAGCUACUCCAUGGUGAUUGCCUAGCACAGAGGUGCAUGCUGCCACACUCCACGGAGCUUCUACAAGCUUCCAGGAAUAUUCAGUGAAUCAACAGCAUCAUGCAAAGUACUGGACAUGUGUUGCCCUGCCUGGGAGAACAUUUUCCUGAAUAGCAUGCCAAGCUCUAGCCUUGUCUCCCUAAGAAUCUCUGCUGCCACCACUACUGGUCCCACAUCCCACGACCAUCAUCCUGCUCCUCUCAAGACCAUGUGACCCCAUUCCCAAGAGUUCCAGUGCUCAGCCAGCAACCCCUGACUUACCCUCUGAGAUGACAGCACAUAUAGCUCCACGAAAAUGUGUCAGGAACAUGAGAGGCCCCAUCCCUCCCUGGGUCUCUGGUCAGAGGAAAUGCCUGUGCUUCAUUUACCAUGAUCUAGCCUGGACCCAGGCAACUGAGCUCUGCUUAGAGAAUGCCAUUAAAGCUACUGUAAAUGGUGUUCAUCUUUAAAAUAUAGCCAAACAUGUUUAACAAUUCCAGGCAUGGAAGCAAAAUGAAACAUAAUUCGCGUGAGCUCAGGGAGGUGGGAGAGAAUGUGGAUCAUUUUAGUACCCACAAGUAGUUCAGCAGGGCUGGAGCAUAUGUAGAAGUUUUAGGAGUGCUAGAACUGGGGCUGGAGGAGUAAGCAAGACCUGACCAAGAUGGGUUGUGUUAGUCUUGAUAAAAAGCUUGCAUUCUCUCCUGAGGGUCUUUAGAAGCCAUUGAAGAUCUUAAUGGGGGCAGCCAGAGAUGGGAUGAGAUGCCCAUUCUGCACAGGUCAUUCUGUCCAGAGUGAGGGCAGUGGAUUGGAGGCCAUCAGGUACAAUCUAAUGCAGCCUCCCUUCAUCUAGCUUCUACCAUCCAAGCUCAGCUUAUAUGAGACCUUCACCUGGAGGGAUGCGUAGGUGUCUUGCUUUCACUGGUAAUGUUAGCGUGACUCUCCACCCCAACACUCAGAGGCACCCUACUCUGUCUGCCCCAGUAGCACCAGGGUUAAAUCAGAUGAAGGGGGUAUGAGGGUCUGGAAAGCAAUGGGGGACACUCGACAGAGUCGCGGUGAUCAUGGAAACACCCAGGGCAACAAGGAUCCCAGGAAAUCUUUUUCUAGCUACAAGACAAAUUUAUUUUCUAGACUCCAGAGUAUACCCAUGCCUUCCAGGCAACAGGACAGGUAGACACAAGUUCUCUUAAGGGAUUGGGAAGAGGAGGCCACCCUGGAAAGGAGAUACCAAGUCACUGCCUCUCCUGACCUUGUCCUCCAAGCUGCCUGGUGGAAAUACAGUAUUAUAUAAUGACAUGCUACUAUGCAUCUCUACCUAACUCCUCGUCUGGUGAUGCCAUAUUGAAAUCAGCCAUACUGAGAGUAUUUACACACUGCUGAAGUCAGUAAAUGCUACAAAUCAAGGCUUGAAUGUAACCUACAUGAGAAAGAGUUGCCUUGCUCACUGCCGUAUCCCAGUAUCCCAAGAACCUUGGAGAUGCUCUAUGAAUACUGAAUGAAUCUGAGAGGAAACUAGCCCGAAGGGGGAAGGCUCUGGAAGCAAGCCCUCAUGGACCAACGGAGAGUGAGUGUCAUCAUUUUAUGUUUUCUCCAAAUCUUGUAAACAAUGUGUUUUAGUCUUAGCCUGUCAUAUGCAGCUGAAAUCUGGGGCAAAUAAAAUCACAUAGAUGCAUGUGGCUCUGUGUUAUUAUUACAGGCAAGCGAGGUAAAAUUGAAGGAUGCAAACUUGAAGGGCGUAUCACUCUCAGAUUCAUGUAAGUGCAGGGUCAGCCCCGAGAGUGGGCACCUCCUUACAUUUUGUGCCCUGGGAUUCUCCCUUGCUUUACCUUAGCCUUGAUUCUACAGCAGGUCUCUUCCAGGAACUCCCAAUUCCACAGCCUAAUGGACAUCUCCAACUCUAGCAGCUGCUUCUUUCAGACACAGCCAGAGAGCAGCAUAUACAAGAGAAUGCUUAGCUGAGGCAAAGUUUUAUUCACUCUGUCUAGCUUAGAGACAUAAUAAACUCCAGGGGCUGAAUGACGGCUCUAAAUGCUGAGAGAUAGGCCAAAGCAGUAAGAAGGAGGCAUUACUUAUUUUAGAAUAAGCGCCAUGUCAUUACCUUAUUGCUGAAAUCUUGAAGCUCAGGUGUUGACUAUUACUACGAUUAGGUCUGAUGGUAUCGCACACCCAGGAUGCCAACAGCGCCAACUCCCGCUGAUUGAGUUCCCACUGUGUGCCAAGAAAGAAGACACUAGGCCUUCAUGUACAUUGUUUCAUUCAUCAACCAGCACCCUAACUAACUCUCUUUUCUUGGUAUUUCCUGUAUGUCAGAAAAGGAAACUGAAUCUUGGGGAGAUUAAGCAACUCUUUCAAGGUCAACCGGGGAGCGGCAGAACCAGAGUUCGAAGGAAACCUUUCUGAAUCUGACGUCUGCCCCUUCUAAAUUAGGACUCUCAUCUAUCAGCCUGUGAGAAAAAAUACAGAAAGCAUCAUUCAGGCAACACAUGAACUCAAGACACUGAGACUUCGCUAACCUUCCUCGCACACAAGGUCCUAAAGGAACUACCACACGCAUGUCCACAUUUGAUGCACAUAACAGACUCUCACCGCAUUGAAAUAAACCCCAGUAUGAUCAUAAUAGCUUUUUUCUUUCAAUUUUUAUUGAACACAAGUAUUCCGACAGAAUGCAAAGUCAAAAUUCUCAGUUAGUACUCAGUAUUUACACCAGUGAGAAUGGAAACAAAGGUGGUAUCGAUGUUUCACUUGGUAAAAAGUUUUAUAACAAGAGAGAAGGCCCCCGAAGUACAGAAUGCUGGGUAGGGAUGUUAAUGGAGGUCUGAAAACCGCCAUCCAGACAGACAGCCUCAAGUGAAAACCUGGGACUCGGAAGGCUCCAUAGAAAAGUGUGAAAAUAGAGUUCCACCUCCAAAGCUGCACUAUAUACACCACAGCCCUGCAGGGUCCAGUGGCCCUGCUCGUCACACUUGAGUGCUCCUCCAGCAGAACUUGGCCAUGCCGGUCUUCAUGUGAAUACAUAUGUAUGGCACAUACACACAUAGACACAUAGACAUUGGAAACUGGAGUUGAUCCCUCCUUCAAAAAUUAAAAAAGAAAAUUAUAAGCUUUGAUCUCUUAACAUAAAAGAUAAAACAUCUUGGAAUAAAAUGACUCCCUCUUUGAUUUUAGAGAAAGCAUUGCUUUUUUUUUUUUUUUUUUUUUUUUUUUAAAGGAAAAACUCUUGCAUGCUGAGACAAACCUAUGUGUAAUGGGAGAGAACAGACCAAAAUGUGGGCAGAGUCUUAGGUCCUAGCUAAUGGCAGAGCCAGGGUUCUAGGGGGUCAGCUGUCCCGGGCCAGGUGAUCUGAGGGCUGACCUGUUUCUUCCUAACCAUCAGAACCAAAACCAGUUUGACCUAACCACAACCACUUUGACAGUCUUGACAAGGUAUGGCAUGGGCUUGGCCUGGUGUGGCAAAGCCAUCGACAUUACAAGAUGAAGAACUGAGUCCACUGAACAGCCUGGUGACCAGAAGAGCCUGCCCCUCACUGCUGGGCCCUCCCGGUCUCAGACACCCAGGCUCUCACAUUCUACUGUGUGCUCUAAGAUCUCUCUUCAUGUUCCUCUAUUCUGAGGGCCUGUGCAUUUGAACCAGAGAUCUGUGCAGGCCCUAGAAUCAAAGGGGCCAGGGCUGUGUGUUCUGGGAUCCUCCAUUUCCAUCCCCAGGAGCUGAGAAAAUGCAACAUAACCCCACAUUGAGCAAAUGACAAGACCAUUAUUCUUCACAGUUUGAAAUUAUAAUCUAGCAUCGCCACUGAUCAGACUGCAGAAGUGUCAGAACGUUGGGGAGAGUGGCCCACAGAAUGGACCCAGAGGCAGCCUUGCCACCCUAACCUCUUGCUGCUUUGUACCUUAGGAGAGGAGCGCAUGCGGAGUACUGAUUUCUGUUUACUUAGCAUCAUCUUCAUCAUCAUCAUCAUCAUCUGUAUUUCAUUUUCUUUGUUAAAAGGCUUCGAUUCCGUUUGAGUGAUUUUUGUUUCCUGAAUAUUUUUUCUGAACUAUCUGCUAUACCUUCCACAACCAAACUAUGUUGAAGUUUUAUUUCAAUACUAUGACAAAAACACGUUUCACACUAAAAUAUUCACGCAUCCACAGUGCACAAGCUUGCAGUUCUAAAGUAGAAUGAGGGAAAAAAAAGCAAAAUUUCUAUACAAAGGGCUGGCUUUUCCCUUCUCCCCCCCCUCCCAUCCCCCUUAAAGUUUCUGUAUUUUUUCCCCCACUUGGUUUCCAAUCCAGGAAAGUUGUGUUAUGACUCCAGACAGUAGGUUGUUUCUUUCUUCUUUUGUUUCUAUAAAUGCUGCCUAAGUGAACAGAAG